UACGAAGGGGGCUAGCGUUGUUCGGAAUUACUGGGCGUAAAGCGCACGUAGGCGGAUUGUUAAGUCGGGGGUGAAAUCCUGAGGCUCAACCUCAGAACUGCCUUCGAUACUGGCAAUCUCGAGUCCGGAAGAGGUGAGUGGAACUCCUAGUGUAGAGGUGGAAUUCGUAGAUAUUAGGAAGAACACCAGUGGCGAAGGCGGCUCACUGGUCCGGUACUGACGCUGAGGUGCGAAAGCGUGGGGAGCAAACAGG
rnacentral:rRNA from 1 species